GGGCAGCACCUCCUUGGCAAACUGGCCCUGGUCGAACACGUGGAAGCUGUUCCCGCUCUGAAAGGGAGACACAUGGGCCCAGAGCUAUCAGGAGGAGCUGGCGAGGGAGGCAUCCCUGUUGGCCGUGGCUGCGGUGGCUCAGAGGGGCCAUCAAAGGCUUAGGGGACAGCGAGAAGCCCACAUGGCGGGGAAGGGGGGCCUGAAGCAAGGCCAGAGAGAGGCUGGAGUGCACUGGCACCAACGUGGCUCACUGCAGCCUCCGCCUCUCAGUUCAAGCGAUUCUCCUGCCUCAGCCUCCCGAGUAGCUGACUACAGGUGCCACCAGGCCCGGCUAAUUUCUGUAUUUUUAGUAGAGACGGGGUUUCACCAUGUUGCCCAGGCUGGUCUUGAAUUCUUGACCUCAAGUGAUCCGCCCACCUUGGCCUCCUGCAGUGCUGGGAUUACAGGUGUGAGCCACUGUGCCCGACCAGGCUUUGUGGCAUUUUACAUGCCCUAUUCCCACUCCCUCUGCAGCCUUAAAAACCAACAGCUGCAGUCCCCGUGGGAACCAGCAUCCUGGCAGCCGCUGCGGAGUGGGCCAGGGCUUGGGCUCCUCCAGGGCCCCAUUCCCAGAGGACUGUCAGCAUCUGACCUAACAGUCCACUCCCAAGGCUGUCUCUGAUGUGACUUGAAGCUCUCCUGAAUAAAAAAGCUGUUUGCCGAGGUGUGCUUGUUGAAACCUUUGGAGGUGAUUUUUGAACGCUGUGGCUGCCUGAGGCAGUGCCUGGCAGCUAGGGAGAAGGAGGCGCUACUAGGGGCUCUGAAAAGCUCUGAGAUAUUCCAGGACAUCUCGCAGCCGUGUACACGGGUGAGCUGUGCCCAUGUUCAGGAAAGACCUGAGCCAGCCCCGAGCUCUCACUUCUGGCUGACCUUGAGGAUCUGCGUAAGCAGGAAGUCAGGCAUACAGUUGGGUUGUCCACUGCCUGGCCGAGUGCUGAAGGCGUCACCAACACACA